AUUUAUUUAGUAUAACAAGUAUAUUUGAUUUCCAAUCAAAAGGUCUACAAUUAUUAGAAUAAAUA
rnacentral:tRNA from 1 species